CUGAAACUGUGCAUGAGCAUUCCUUGGGAUAUGGAAAAGGACUUUGAGAUCCCUUCAGAUCAGGCUAUCCCAGUGGCCUUACUCUUGAAGAAGAGGAGAGUCCAAGGAGCCUUCUCUUCUGCACCUAGAAUGGAAAGUGAGCACGCAUCUUGCUUUCCUGGCUGAUGAUGCAGGCACACUGAGCUUUCUUUAAGGCAAUUCAGUAAUUUCCCUGGAACAAUGUACCUGCAGGAGUGGAAGAUCUGCAAUGAAAUAUACUUUGUCUAGAGAGUGCUUUAUUGCUCACUGCCUAACAAUAGUCCCUCAUGUGGAAUUUGCCUGUUAAACUUCAGUCUGCUGUACAUAACUCAUUGGGAAACUGCCAAUCUGGUUCAGAUGUCUAUCAGAAA